rnacentral:rRNA from 1 species
UCGGAAUUACUGGGCGUAAAGCGUGCGUAGGCGGUUCGUUAAGUCGGUUGUGAAAUCCCUGGGCUUAACCUGGGAACUGCAGUCGAUACUGGUGAACUAGAAUGCGGUAGAGGGUGGCGGAACUCCGGGUGUAGCGGUGAAAUGCGUAGAUAUCCGGAAGAACACCGAUGGCGAAGGCAACCACCUGGGCCUGCAUUGACGCUGAGGUACGAAAGCGUGGGGAGCAAACAGG